rnacentral:rRNA from 1 species
GACAGAGGGUGCGAACGUUGCUCGGAAUCACUGGGCGUAAAGCGCGUGUAGGCGGGUGAUCAAGUCAGGUGUGAAAUCCCUGGGCUCAACCCAGGAACUGCAUCUGAAACUGGUCGCCUUGAGUACUGGAGAGGGAAGCGGAAUUCCUGGUGUAGAGGCGAAAUUCGUAGAUAUCAGGAGGAACACCGGUGGCGAAGGCGGCUUCCUGGACAGUUACUGACGCUGAGACGCGAAAGCGUGGGGAGCAAAC